rnacentral:rRNA from 1 species
GACGAACGCUGGCGGCGUGCUUAACACAUGCAAGUCGAACGGAAAGGCCCUGCUUUUUUUGGGUGCUCGAGUGGCGCACGGGUGAGUAACACGUGAGUAACCUGCCCUUGACUUUGGUAUAACUUCAGGAAACUGUGUCUAAUACCGGAUAGGAUCUCCUGCUGCAUGGUUGGGGUUGGAAAGUUUCGUCGGUUGGGGAUGGACUCGCGGCUUAUCAGCUUGUUGGUGGGGUAUUGGCUUACCAAGGCUUUGACGGGUAGCCGGCCUGAGAGGGUGACCGGCCACAUUGGGACUGAGAUACGGCCCAGACUCCUACGGGAGGCAGCAGUGGGGAAUAUUGCACAAUGGGCGGAAGCCUGAUGCAGCAACGCCGCGUGAGGGAUGACGGCCUUCGGGUUGUAAACCGCUUUCGCCAGGGAAGAAGCGUGAGUGACGGUAAUGGGUAAAGAAGCACCGGCUAACUACGUG